rnacentral:misc_RNA from 1 species
UCCCCGUUGCCGGGGCAGUUUGAUUAGAAAAAUACAACUAAUCACAAGGGUUGCGCUCGUUGAUGGACUUAACCAAACAUCUCACGACACGAGCUGACGACGGCCAUGCAUCACCUGUCACCAAGUUCAAUAAAGCACUCUCGUCUUUCGACAAAAUUCUUGGGAUGUCAAACCCUGGUAAGGUUUAUCGUUUAUCCUCGAAUUAAAGAACACAAUCCACCGCUUGUGCGGGUCCCCGUCAAUUCCUUUAUGUUUUAGUCUUGCGGCCGUACUCCCCAGGCGGGGCACUUAAUGCGUUAGCGCCGGCACCCAGGGGGUCGCUCCCCCAGGCACCUAGUGCCCAUCGUUUACGGCGUGGACUAC